GGAACAGCUUUGGCUCAGUGGCACAGCGCCUGCUUUGCAUGCAGAAGGUCCCAAGUUCAAUCCCCAGCAUUUCUA